rnacentral:rRNA from 1 species
GAUGAACGCUAGCGGCAGGCCUAAUACAUGCAAGUCGAACGGGUAGUAGCAAUACUACUAGUGGCGCACGGGUGCGUAACGCGUAACCAACCUACCUGGAUCUGGGGGAUAGCCCGCCGAAAGGCGGAUUAAUACCGCAUAAGCCGUGCGAGUGGCAUCACUUGGACGGUAAAGAUUUAUUGGAUUCAGAUGGGGUUGCGUAGCAUUAGCUAGAUGGCGGGGUAACGGCCCACCAUGGCGACGAUGCUUAGGGGACCUGAGAGGGUGAUCCCCCACACUGGCACUGAGAUACGGGCCAG